rnacentral:rRNA from 1 species
UCUGAUUAGCUAGUUGGUGGGGUAAAGGCCUACCAAGGCGACGAUCAGUAGCCGGCCUGAGAGGGUGAACGGCCACACUGGGACUGAGACACGGCCCAGACUCCUACGGGAGGCAGCAGUGGGGAAUCUUCCGCAAUGGACGAAAGUCUGACGGAGCAACGCCGCGUGUAUGAUGAAGGUCUUCGGAUUGUAAAGUACUGUCUUUGGGGAAGAAUGACUGGCUUGAAAAUAUUGAGUCAGUAUGACGGUACCCAAGGAGGAA